GUGUCAGCAGCCGCGGUAAGACGUAGGGGGCCAGCGUUGCUCGGAAUUACUGGGCGUAAAGGGUUCGUAGGCGGUGUGGCAAGUCGGGAGUGAAAUCCUGGAGCUCAACUCCAGAACUGCCCUCGAUACUGGCGAUCUUGAGUCCGGGAGAGGUGAGUGGAAUUGCGAGUGUAGAGGUGAAAUUCGUAGAUAUUCGCAAGAACACCAGUGGCGAAGGCGGCUCACUGGCCCGGUACUGACGCUGAUGUGCGAAAGCGUGGGGAGCAAACAGUAUUAGAUACCCUCGUAGUCC
rnacentral:rRNA from 1 species